GACAUUCAACAAAGAUUUUUUAAAAAAGUAAUAAUAUAUAAAGCCAUCUAAAGUGCAAGUACCGUAACAGUAUCUUUAAUUUUCUUUGCCGAGUGCUCGACAAAUGACACUCGGUAAUGGAGCCUUCGCCGAUCCUUUUUUACUGAGUGCUAUUUACCGAGUGUGGUACUCGACAAAACCUUUGUGUAAGCACUCGACAAAGAGCUCGUCUCCAGUAGUGCACAAGACCCGAAUUUCUACAUAUAUCUAAUUAAAUGUAUAUGUACUCAGUCGAAUGUUCCAGUGUUGUAUGUUGGGCAGGCAAUCCAUGUGGCCACUCAAACUUUUGGCCGGAAUAUAUUUGUCAGUUGAUAACUAUGGCCUUGUUUAGAUUUAAUUUUUUUUAAUUUUGAUAUUAUAGCACUUUCGUUUUUAUUUAAUAAAUAUUGUUUAAUUAUAGAGUAACUAAGUUUAAAAAUUUUGUCUCAGAAUUUACAGGUAAAGUGUGCAGUUAAUUUUUGUUUUUAUUUAUAUUUAAUGCUCUAUGCAUAUAUGCCGUAAGAUUCGAUGUAACGUGAAAUCUUAAAAAGUUUUUGGUUUUUGGGUGAACUAAACAUGGCCAUAUAUCUAGUAUUUGGCAAGAUCAUUAUUCUUUUAUUACUUUUAUGUUCCCGAGAGAUAUGAGGAUCGAUCACCAUGCUCCAACAGGUUCUAGAGUUGACUCAGGGCACUCAUAAUGCAAGACUCUAUCAC
rnacentral:lncRNA from 1 species